rnacentral:lncRNA from 1 species
CAAGUCAAUUUGACAACAAGAUUUGCUGGCCCAGUAUUUGACACAUGAGAUUUGCUGGCUCCAGUCAAUUGACAAUAGAAUUUGGCUGGCUCAGCAAUUUGACAACGAGAUUGUGCUGCUCCAGUCAAUUGACAACAAGUAUGAUUGCUGGUGCUCCAGUCAAUUUGACAACGAGAUUUGCUGGCUCCAGUCAAUUUGACAACAAGAGAUUUGCUGGCUCCAGUCAAUUUGACAAGAGAUUUGCUGGCCCCAGUCAAUUUGACAACAAGAGAUUUGCUGGCCCCAGUCAAUUUGACAACAAGAGAUUUGCUGGCCCCAACCAAGUCUGUCUUUCUUUGAACAAUAAGAAGGCUUCACCAUUAGAAUAAAAUUGUGUGUGGGCCAAAUAAUAUUUUUGGGAAAAAAUAAUGUGAAACACUAUCAUUCCAUUAUUACUGUAGAUAUAUUAAGGACAUUUUGUCCUUUUCUCAACAGCAGGUUAGUACAGAAAGCAUGAUUGUUAACCUUUUCUAAUAAAAGGUACUUACCACAUGAAGAGAGCAAAUAGUGUCGCUACCAGAGUCCAUGUCUCUGUGGAGAACGAAGGAAAGUACCACAUCGUGUCUCCGCUCUGUUGCGCUUUUGACUCUGACCGUAGGCUCUGACCGACCUGUAAUUCUCUCUUCUUCUUCUGUAAUAUUAUGGCGGUCCACAAAGGAAUGGUGUAAUUAUUUUACUUCCACCUUUUUAAAGGGCUAUUCGGUAGUUUGAGGGUUAACGGGCGACUCUUUGCAGAGAGAGAGAGAGAGAGAGAGAGAAUAGAGAUAGAUAGAGGACUCAUAUUUAUAUAUGUGCCAUUAUAGCUUCUAUGACACUGUGGGCAGCACCAUUGAGGCUACAACAUGUAGAAAUCCCCACCAGAUGAGUACUUUGACUACAUUAAAAUGGCAAAGGCAUGGUGGAAGCACUCAACGGUGCUACCCAUGCUA